AUUGAACGCUGGCGGCAGGCUUAACACAUGCAAGUCGAGCGGAGAUGAGGUGCUUGCACCUUAUCUUAGCGGCGGACGGGUGAGUAAUGCUUAGGAAUCUGCCUAUUAGUGGGGGACAACAUUCCGAAAGGAAUGCUAAUACCGCAUACGCCCUACGGGGGAAAGCAGGGGAUCUUCGGACCUUGCGCUAAUAGAUGAGCCUAAGUCGGAUUAGCUAGUUGGUGGGGUAAAGGCCUACCAAGGCGACGAUCUGUAGCGGGUCUGAGAGGAGGAUCCGCCACACUGGGACGGGGACACGGCCCAGACUCCUACGGGAGGCAGCAGUGGGGAAUAUUGGACAAUGGGCGGAAGCCUGAUCCAGCCAUGCCGCGUGUGUGAAGAAGGCCUUUUGGUUGUAAAGCACUUUAAGCGAGGAGGAGGCUACCUGGAUUAAUACUCUAGGAUAGUGGACGUUACUCGCAGAAUAAGCACCGGCUAACUCUGUGCCAGCAGCCGCCGUAAUAC
rnacentral:rRNA from 1 species